AGCGUGCCUCUUUCGAGGCUGUUUAAAUGGAUUCACAUUGUGCAACUCGACGGCAUAAAUCCAUUUAAGUCGUUCGAAAGAGGCUGGCUGU